GGUUGCGAUCAUACCAGCACUAAUGCACCGGAUCCCAUCAGAACUCCGCAGAUAAGCGUGCAUGGGCGAGAGUAGUACUAGGAUGGGUGACCCCCUGGGAAGUCCUCGUGUUGCAACCC
rnacentral:rRNA from 1 species